UCAAAGAUUAAGCCAUGCAUGUCUCAGUGCAAGCCGUCCUGUACGGUGAAACCGCGAAAGGCUCAUUAAAUCAGUUAUGGUUCCUUAGAUAGUACCCACGUUACUUGGAUAACUGUGGUAAUUCUAGAGCUAAUACAUGCCGACAGAGUUCCGACCAGCGUCGCGGCGGCUUGCCGUUCGCGACGUUCGGAAGGAGCGCUUUUAUUAGAUCAAAAUCGGCCAAGCGCAACGUUCGCGUAGCGUUAGUGGCCCGCGCAAAGACUUGACGACUCUGAAUAACUUCGAGCUGAUCGCACGGUCUCGCACCGGCGACGUAUCUUUCAAAUGUCUGCCUUAUCAACUGUCGACGGUACGUUCGAUGCUUACCGUGGUGGUAACGGGUAACGGGGAAUCAGGGUUCGAUUCCGGAGAGGGAGCCUGAGAAACGGCUACCACAUCCAAGGAAGGCAGCAGGCGCGCAAAUUACCCACUCCCAGCUCGGGGAGGUAGUGACGAAAAAUAACGAUACGGGACUC
rnacentral:rRNA from 1 species